rfam:Candidatus Chloracidobacterium thermophilum B chromosome 1, complete sequence.
UUCGGUGGCCAUAUCGCGGAGGACACACCCGUUCCCAUUCCGAACACGGAAGUUAAGCUCCGUGGAGUCGAUGAUACUGCGCGGGGGACUGCGUGGGAAAGUAGAUAGCUGCCGGAA